rnacentral:rRNA from 1 species
CGCGAAACCUUUACACUGCACGCAAGUGCGAUAAGGGGACCCCGAGUGCGAGGGCAUACAGUCCUCGCUUUUCACUACCGUACGAUGGUAGUGGAAUAAGAGCUGGGCAAGACCGGUGCCAGCCGCCGCGGUAAUACCGGCAGCUCGAGUGAUGGCCGAUCUUAUUGGGCCUAAAGCGUUCGUAGCCGGCCACACAAGUCCACCGGGAAAUCCGCCAGCCCAACUGGCGGGCGUCCGGUGGAAACUGUGUGGCUAGGGACCGGAAGACCCGAAGGGUACGUCUUAGGUAGGAGUGAAAUCCUGUAAUCCUGGACGGACCGCCGAUAGCGAAAGCACUUCGGGAAGACGGAUCCGACGGUGAGGGACGAAAGCCAGGGUCUCGAACCGGAUUAGAUACCCGGGUAGUCCUGGCCGUAAACGAUGUCUGCUAGGUGUGGCUCCCACUACGAGUGGGUGCUGUGCCGUAGGGAAGCCGCUAAGCAGACCGCCUGGGAAGUACGUCCGCAAGGAUGAAACUUAAAGGAAUUGGCGGGGGAGCACUACAACCGGAGGAGCCUGCGGUUUAAUUGGAAUCA